GGCGGGCUUACCAUGCAAGUCGAGCGGUAACAGGGGAAGCUUGCUUCCCGCUGACGAGCGGCGGACGGGUGAGUAAUGCUUAGGAAUCUGCCCAGUAGUGGGGGAUAGCCCGGGGAAACCCGGAUUAAUACCGCAUACGUCCUACGGGAGAAAGCAGGGGAUCUUCGGACCUUGCGCUAUUGGAUGAGCCUAAGUCGGAUUAGCUAGUUGGUGGGGUAAAGGCCUACCAAGGCGACGAUCCGUAGCUGGUCUGAGAGGAUGAUCAGCCACAUCGGGACUGAGACACGGCCCGAACUCCUACGGGAGGCAGCAGUGGGGAAUAUUGGACAAUGGGGGCAACCCUGAUCCAGCCAUGCCGCGUGUGUGAAGAAGGCUUUCGGGUUGUAAAGCACUUUCAGUAGGGAGGAAAACCUUAUGGCUAAUACCCAUGAGGCUUGACGUUACCUACAGAAGAAGCACCGGCUAACUCCGUGCCAGCAGCCGCGGUAAUACGGAGGGUGCAAGCGUUAAUCGGAAUUACUGGGCGUAAAGCGCGCGUAGGUGGUUUGGUAAGCGAGAUGUGAAAGCCCCGGGCUUAACCUGGGAACGGCAUUUCGAACUGUCAGACUAGAGUGUGGUAGAGGGUAGUGGAAUUUCCUGUGUAGCGGUGAAAUGCGUAGAUAUAGGAAGGAACACCAGUGGCGAAGGCGGCUACCUGGACCAACACUGACACUGAGGUGCGAAAGCGUGGGGAGCAAACAGGAUUAGAUACCCUGGUAGUCCACGCCGUAAACGAUGUCAACUAGCCGUUGGGACUCUUGAAGUCUUAGUGGCGCAGCUAACGCACUAAGUUGACCGCCUGGGGAGUACGGCCGCAAGGUUAAAACUCAAAUGAAUUGACGGGGGCCCGCACAAGCGGUGGAGCAUGUGGUUUAAUUCGACGCAACGCGAAGAACCUUACCUGGGCCUUGACAUCCAGAGAACUUUCCAGAGAUGGAUUGGUGCCUUCGGGAACUCUGAGACAGGUGCUGCAUGGCCCGUCGUCAGCUCGUGUCGUGAGAUGUUGGGUUAAGUCCCGUAACGAGCGCAACCCCUAUCCCUGGUUGCUAGCAGGUAAUGCUGAGAACUCCAGGGAGACUGCCGGUGACAAACCGGAGGAAGGUGGGGAUGACGUCAGGUCAUCAUGGCCCUUACGGCCAGGGCUACACACGUGCUACAAUGGCGCGUACAGAGGGCUGCCAACUCGCGAGAGUGAGCCAAUCCCUUAAAACGCGUCGUAGUCCGGAUCGGAGUCUGCAACUCGACUCCGUGAAGUCGGAAUCGCUAGUAAUCGCGAAUCAGAAUGUCGCGGUGAAUACGUUCCCGGGCCUUGUACACACCGCCCGUCACACCAUGGGAGUGGAUUGCACCAGAAGUAGUUAGUCUAACCUUCGGGAGGACGAUACCACGG
rnacentral:rRNA from 1 species